rnacentral:rRNA from 1 species
ACAGCCCUACGGGGCGCAACAGUGAGGAAUAUUGGUCAAUGGGAGAGAUCCUGAACCAGCCAAGCCGCGUGAGGGAAGACGGCCCUAUGGGUCGUAAACCUCUUUUGUCGGAGAACAAAACCCGGGACGUGUCCCGGACUGCGUGUAUCCGAAGAAAAAGCAUCGGCUAACUCCGUGCCAGCAGCCGCGGUAAUACGGAGGAUGCGAGCGUUAUCCGGAUUUAUUGGGUUUAAAGGGUGCGCAGGCGGAUUUUUAAGUCAGCGGUAAAAUCGUGGGGCUCAACCCCAUCCAUCCGUUGAAACUGG